rnacentral:rRNA from 1 species
GGAGCUAAUCCCUUAAAGCUACUCUCAGUUCGGAUUGUAGGCUGAAACUCGCCUACAUGAAGCUGGAGUUACUAGUAAUCGCAGAUCAGAAUGCUGCGGUGAAUGCGUUCCCGGGUCUUGUACACACCGCCCGUCACACCACGGGAGUUGGAGACGCCCGAAGCCGAUUAUCUAACCUGUUGGAAGAAGGCGUCGAAGGUGGAAUCAAUAACUGGGGUGAAGUCGUAACAAGGUAGCCGUAUCGGAAGGUGCGGCUGGAUCACCUCCUUUCUAAGGAGA